GACGAACGCUGGCGGCGUGCUUAACACAUGCAAGUCGAACGGAAAGGCCCUGCUUGCAGGGUACUCGGGUGGCGAACGGGUGAGUAACACGUGGGUGAUCUGCCCUGCACUUCGGGAUAAGCUUGGGAAACUGGGUCUAAUACCGGAUAGGAGCCAUCUUUAGUGUGGUGGUUGGAAAGUUUUUUCGGUGUAGGAUGAGCUCGCGGCCUAUCAGCUUGUUGGUGGGGUAAUGGCCUACCAAGGCGGCGACGGGUAGCCGGCCUGAGAGGGUGUACGGCCACAUUGGGACUGAGAUACGGCCCAGACUCCUACGGGAGGCAGCAGUGGGGAAUAUUGCACAAUGGGCGCAAGCCUGAUGCAGCGACGCCGCGUGGGGGAUGAAGGCCUUCGGGUUGUAAACUCCUUUCGCUAGGGACGAAGCUUUUUUGUGACGGUACCUAGAUAAGAAGCACCGGCUAACUACGUG
rnacentral:rRNA from 1 species